rnacentral:rRNA from 1 species
CCUACGGGUGGCAGCAGUGAGGAAUAUUGGUCAAUGGACGAGAGUCUGAACCAGCCAAGUAGCGUGAAGGAUGACUGCCCUAUGGGUUGUAAACUUCUUUUAUAUGGGAAUAAAAUGUUCCACGUGUGGGAUUUUGUAUGUACCAUAUGAAUAAGAAUCGGCUAACUCCGUGCCAGCAGCCGCGGUAAUACGGAGGAUCCGAGCGUUAUCCGGAUUUAUUGGGUUUAAAGGGAGCGUAGGUGGAUUGUUAAGUCAGUUGUGAAAGUUUGCGGCUCAACCGUAAAAUUGCAGUUGAAACUGGCAGUCUUGAGUACAGUAGAGGGGGGCGGAAUGCGUGGUGUAGCGGUGAAAUGCUUAGAUAUCACGAAGAACUCCGAUUGCGAAGGCAGUUCACUGGACUGCAACUGACACUGAGGCUCGAAAGUGUGGGUAUCAAACAGGAUUAGAUACCCGUGUAGUC